AGAUAGUGCGAUGAUGAUGAAUGUUAAUCCCAGCUCAUUAUGAGACCUUCCAUUGGAAGGUCAGGGAAAAGAUUUCACAACAAUAUCUAUCUGAGCUCUUU